rnacentral:rRNA from 1 species
GAUUAUGGCUCAGGAUGAACGCUAGCGGCAGGCUUAACACAUGCAAGUCGAGGGGCAUCGGGAGUAGCAAUACUGCCGGCGACCGGCGCAAGGGUGCGUAACGCGUGAGCAACAUGCCCGUAUCAGGGGGAUAAUCCAUGGAAACGUGGUCUAAUACCCCAUAGUAAUUAUGUAAGGCAUCUUAUAUAAUUUAAAGCUUUGGUGGAUACGGAUUGGCUCGCGUGACAUUAGCUGGAUGGUAAGGUAACGGCUUACCAUGGCUACGAUGUCUAGGGGUUCUGAGAGGAAGGUCCCCCACACUGGAACUGAGACACGGUCCAGACUCCUACGGGAGGCAGCAGUGAGGAAUAUUGGACAAUGGAUGGAAAUCUGAUCCAGCCAUGCCGCGUGCCAGGAAGACGGCCCUAUGGGUUGUAAACUGCUUUUGUAUGGGAGCAAUAAGGGCUACGUGUAGUCCGAUGAGAGUACCAUACGAAUAAGCACCGGCUAACUCCGUGCCAGCCGCCGC